rnacentral:rRNA from 1 species
GUAGAGUUUGAUCCUGGCUCAGGACUAACGCUAGCGGUGCGUCUAAUGCAUGCAAGUCGUACGGUCCGCUGGACUUCGGUCCAAACGGAUAGUGGCAAACGGCUGAGUAACACGUAAGUAACCAACCUCGUAGUGGGGAAUAACUCCGAGAAAUCGGGACUAAUUCCGCAUGUGUAUAUUAGUUUAAUGAUUAAUAUGGAAAGGCUUCAUUUCGGUGAAGUCGCUAUGAGACGGGCUUGCGUCCUAUCAGGUAGUUGGUGAGGUAAUGGCUCACCAAGCCUAAGACGGGUAACCGGUGUGAGAGCAUGAACGGUCAGAGGGGGACUGAGACACGGCCCCCACUCCUACGGGAGGCAGCAGCAGGGAAUCUUGCGCAAUGGGCUGAAUAAGCCUGACGCAGCGACACCGCGUGGAGGAAGACAGCUUUCGAGUUGUAAACUCCUUUUCUCAAGGAAGAGAGAGGACGGUACUUGAGGAAUAAGCUUCGGCUAACUACGUGCCAGCAGCCGCGGUAAUACGUAGGAAGCGAGCGUUGUCCGGAUUUACUGGGCGUAAAGGGCAAGCAGGUGGUCGAUUAUGUCCUAUGUGAAAUCUCCGUGCUCAACGCGGAGCGGUCAUAGGAAACUGGUCGACUAGAGGCCAGCAGAGGGAAGCAGAAUUUCCGGUGUAGCGGUGAAAUGCGUAGAUACCGGGAGGAAUACCAGAGGCGAAGGCGGCUUCCUAGGCUGGAUCUGACACUGAUAUGCGAAAGCAUGGGUAGCGAACCGGAUUAGAUACCCGGGUAGUCCAUGCCGUAAACGAUGAAUACUAGACGUAGGGGGUAUCGACCCCCUCUGUGUCGUAGCUAACGCGUUAAGUAUUCCGCCUGGGGAGUACGGCCGCAAGGCUAAAACUCAAAGGAAUUGACGGGGGCCCGCACAAGCAGCGGAGCGUGUUGUUUAAUUCGAUGAUAAGCGAAGAACCUUACCAGGACUUGACAUGUUUUUGACCGCCUGUGAAAGCAGGUUUUCUCUUCGGAGACAAUUACACAGAUAUUGCAUGGCUGUCGUCAGCUCGUGCCGUGAGGUGUUGGGUUAAGUCCCGCAACGAGCGCAACCCCUGUCGUUAGUUAUAAUUCUCUAGCGAGACAGCCCCCCAACGGGGGAGGAAGGUGGGGAUGAAGUCAAGUCUUCAUGAUUCUUACGUCCUGGGCUACAAACACGCUACAAUGGUUAGUACAAAGGGUUGCUAUUACGCGAGUAUGCGCUAAUCCCAUCAAAGCUAACCUCAGUUGGAAUUGCAGGCUGCAACUCGCCUGCAUGAACGUGGAGUUGCUAGUAACCGUAGGUCAGCACACUACGGUGAAUACGUUCCCGGGCCUUGUACACACCGCCCGUCAAGUCAUGGAAGUUGGCAACACUUGAAGUCGCCGAGCGAACCCGUAUGGGACGCAAGCGCCGAGGGUGGGGCUGAUGACUGGGACUAAGUCGUAACAAGGUAGCUGUACCGGAAGGUGCGGCUGGAUCACCUCCUUUCUAGGGA